CAGUAGCCGCGGUAAUACGAAGGGUGCAAGCGUUAAUCGGAAUUACUGGGCGUAAAGCGUGCGUAGGCGGUGAGUUAAGUCUGCUGUGAAAUCCCCGGGCUCAACCUGGGAAUGGCAGUGGAUACUGGCAAGCUAGGGUGUGUCAGAGGAUGGUGGAGUUCCCGGUGUAGCGGUGAAAUGCGUAGAGAUCGGGAGGAACAUCAGUGGCGAAGGCGGCCAUCUGGGACAACACUGACGCUGAGGCACGAAAGCGUGGGGAGCGAACAGGAUUAGAUACCCCCGUAGUCCCUGUCUCUUAUAC
rnacentral:rRNA from 1 species